rnacentral:rRNA from 1 species
AGAGUUUGAUCCUGGCUCAGGAUGAACGCUGGCGGCGUGCUUAACACAUGCAAGCCGAACGGAGUCAUAAUGAAACCUAGUGAUUUAUGACUGAGUGGCGGACGGGUGAGUAACGCGUGGAGAACCUGCCCUGCACAGGGGGAUAACACUUAGAAAUAGGUGCUAAGACCGCAUAAGCGCACGGUAUCGCAUGAUACAGUGUGAAAAAUGGGCGACCAUGGUGCAGGAUGGCUCCGCGUCUGAUUAGCUGGUUGGUGAGGUAACGGCCCACCAAGGCGACGAUCAGUAGCCGGCCUGAGAGGGUGACCGGCCACAUUGGGACUGAGACACGGCCCAAACUCCUACGGGAGGCAGCAGUGGGGAAUAUUGGACAAUGGGGGAAACCCUGAUCCAGCGACGCCGCGUGAGUGAAGAAGUAUUUCGGUAUGUAAAGCUCUAUCAGCAGGGAAGAUAAUGACGGUACCUGACUAAGAAGCCCCGGCUAACUACGUGCCAGCAGCCGCGGUAAUACGUAGGGGGCAAGCGUUAUCCGGAUUUACUGGGUGUAAAGGGAGCGUAGACGGUAAGGCAAGUCAGAUGUGAAAGCCCGGGGCUCAACCGCGGGACUGCAUUUGAAACUGUCCUACUAGAGUGCAGGAGAGGUAAGUGGAAUUCCUAGUGUAGCGGUGAAAUGCGUAGAUAUUAGGAGGAACACCAGUGGCGAAGGCGGCUUACUGGACUGUAACUGACGUUGAGGCUCGAAAGCGUGGGGAGCAAACAGGAUUAAGCCGAAUU